AGGUGACCACGGGCUGUUUUCCUUCACAGUAAAUAGACCACUUCUUACUUUAAAGAUGUAGAAAAGCACAGAAAAGGGGCUGGAAGAGAGGGGCAGUGAAGGUCCCAGGUCAGGACUGCAGCCAAGAAGCUUUCUGAUGAUGCUGAGACACCAAGGGGCCCUGGGUGUCUGGGCAUUUGGGGAAGAAGCCGAACAUGAGUGUCAGACAGCACUGAAGACCCUGAGCCUUUUUCCAGAGACUCUGCUAGGUGCUGGGGGUAUUGGAAAUGAAGAAUGGACCUGUAUUUAAUGAGAGGACUGACAUGUGGACAGCUGAUGACACCACAACCUCACAAAUGAUCUGGAAGAGAGAGGCAUUCAGCUGAGGUCUGUGGGUGGAAGAGGACAAUAAGAAGACUUCUCUGAGGAAACACCAUGACUGCAGAAGAUGCAGACCCAACUGGCUCUCUGGCUCAGCUUCUGGGAUGUGACCCUGGGCUUUCGAAGACAGUGCCAGCAGCUGGGACAGAGAGCCAUUUGAGAUGGAAGUGGGAACAGGAAGCCCACUGUCUCAGAGGACAGGACCUGGGAUGGUGCUCCCCAAGUGAUGGAGGGCUGCAGGGAGUCAGAACAGUGGGGGAGUGAUGGGAGGAGCCAACACCC